UGAUGAUACUUUCUGCUUCACAUGACCCUCAGGAAUUGGUUGCUGAAUUACAGAUUCAACAGCAACAACCAUAGCUUGCACAAAAUCAUCACCUCCAGUUCCAAUCGCUGUAAACCCUCUAACUGUUGGGUAUGAGUUUACCUUCUGAUCCAAAGCAAGCCAUUCGUUAGUGGAAUCAUCCGUUACUGUACCUCCAAUAACCACAUUAGUCGUCUGCCCAACCCUCCCUUCCGACUUCGACACCUCUGAAAUAGCUUUGAGAACAGCUUCUUGUGGAGGCUCUUGGUCCUGUUCAUCCUCGGAAGCUGGAGAGGUAUUAUCACCACUAGAAGCAGAGCAAUUGAGGUGACUUGGUCUCGCGCAGUGGAAAUCGCGAGCCCUAAUGCGUCUCCUACAAAAUCCGCAGCUCGAUUUAAGGCUUGAAAAUCCAGAGGCAGCGGUUCUCGAAGGAAGCGAAUAGAGAGAUCGAUUUUGGUAGUGCAGAGGUCUCCAAGGCUCUGUUAUGAACACAGAGCAACGCACAAGGGUCCGGC
rnacentral:misc_RNA from 1 species